UUAUUUGAGAGUUUGAUCCUGGCUCAGGAUGAACGCUGGCGGCGUGCCUAACACAUGCAAGUCGAGCGAUUCUCUUCGGAGAACGGCGGACAGAAUGAUAACGCGUGGGUAACCUGCCCUGUACACACGGAUAACAUACCGAAAGGUAUGCUAAUACAGGAUAACAUAGAGAGAAUUCGCAUGUUUUUCUUAUCAAAGCUCCGGCGGUACAGGAUGGACCCGCGUCUGAUUAGUUGGUGAGGUAACGGCUCACCAAGGCGACGAUCAGCCGGCCGACCUGAAGGUGAUCAGCCGCUGGAACUGAGACACGGUCCAAACUCCUACGGGAGGCAGCAGUGGGAAUAUUGCACAAUGGGCGAAAGCCUGAUGCAGCAACGCCGCGUGAGCGAUGAAGGCCUUCGGGUCGUAAAGCUCUGUCAUAAAGGAAGAUAAUGACGGUACUUGAGGAGGAAGCCCCGGCUAACUACGUGCCAGCAGCCGCGGUAAUACGUAGGGGGCUAGCGUUAUCCGGAUUUACUGGAGCGUAAAGGGUGCGUAGGCGGUCUUUUAAGUCAGAAGUGAAAGGCUACGGCUCAACCGUAGUAAGCUCUUGAAACUGGAGGACUUGAGUGCAGGAGGGAGAGAGUGGAAUUCCUAGUGUAGCGGUGAAAUGCGUAGAUAUUAGGAGGAACACCAGUAGCGAAGGCGGCUCUCUGGACUGUAACUGACGCUGAGGCACAGCGUGGGGAGCAAACAGGAUUAGAUACCCUGGUAGUCCACGCCGUAAACGAUGAGCCUAGCUGUCGGAGGUUACCCCCUUCGGUGGCGCAGCUAACGCGUAAGUACUCCGCCUGGAGUACGCUCGCAAGUGAAACUCAAAGGAAUUGACGGGGACCCGCACAAGUAGCGGAGCAUGUGGUUUAAUUCGAAGCAACGCGAAGAACACUAAGCUUGACAUCCUUUGACGAUGCCUAAUCGCUGCAUCUUUCCCUUCGGGGACAGAAGUGACAGGUGGUGCAUGGUUGUCGUCAAUGUGUCGUGAGAUGUUGGGUUAAGUCCCGCAACGAGCUGUACUGCCUUUAAUUGCCAUCAUUAAGUUGGGCACUCUAGAGGGACUGCCAGGGAUAACCUGGAGGAAGGUGGGGAUGACGUCAAAUCAUCGUACCUUAUGCUUAGGGCUACACACGUGCUACAAUGGGUGGUACAGAGGGCAGCAGUCGUGAGGCCAAGCUAAUCCCUUAAAGCCAUUCUCAGUUCGGAUUGUAGGCUGAAACUCGCCUCAUGAAGCUGGAGUUACUAGUAAUCGCAGAUCAGAAUGCUGCGGUGAAUUACGUUCCGGGUCUUGUACACACCCGUCACACCAUGGGAGUUGGGGGCGCCCGAAGCCGGCUAGCUAACCUUUUUGAAGCGGUCGUCGGUGAAACCAAUAACUGGGGUGAAGUCGUAACAAGAGCAGCCGUAUCGGAAGGUGCGGCUGGAUCACCUCCUUU
rnacentral:rRNA from 1 species